rnacentral:rRNA from 1 species
AAUGAACGUUGGCGGCGUGGAUUAGGCAUGCAAGUCGAGCGACAAGGCCCCUUCGGGGGCUGGAGGAGCGGCAAACGGGGUAGUAAGGCGUAGGUGACGUACCCCAAGGUCUGGGAUAGCCGGGGGAAACUCCGGGUAAUACCGGAUGACCUCUUCGAGCUUGAAGGCUUGGAGAGCAAAGGUGUGAUUCCGCCUUGGGAGCGGCUUAGGUGGUAUUAGGUAGUUGGUGGGGUAAUGGCCCACCAAGCCUGAGAUGCCUAGGGGGUGUGAGAGCAUGGCCCCCACCACUGGGACUGAGAUACUGCCCAGACACCUACGGGUGGCUGCAGUCGAGAAUCUUCGGCAAUGGGCGCAAGCCUGACCGAGCGACGCCGCGUGCGGGAUGAAGGCCCUUGGGUUGUAAACCGCUGUCAGAGGGGAUGAAAUUCCAGAGGGUUCUCCCUGUGGAUUGACAAAGCCUCAAAGGAAGCACGGGCUAAGUACGUGCCAGCAGCCGCCGUAAGAC